UACGGAGGGGGCUAGCGUUGUUCGGAAUUACUGGGCGUAAAGGGCGCGUAGGCGGCGCGAUAAGUUGGGCGUGAAAGGCCCGGGCUCAACCCGGGGACUGCGCUUGAUACUGUCGCGCUGUGAGUCCGGGAGAGGAUGGCGGAAUUCCCAGUGUAGAGGUGAAAUUCGUAGAUAUUGGGAAGAACACCAGUGGCGAAGGCGGCCAACUGGUCCGAUACUGACGCUGAGGCGCGAAAGCGUGGGGAGCAAACAGG
rnacentral:rRNA from 1 species